AACGAACGCUGGCGGCAGGCCUAACACAUGCAAGUCGAACGAAGUCUUCGGACUUAGUGGCGCACGGGUGAGUAACACGUGGGAAUAUACCUUACGCUGGGGGAUAACAUCGGGAAACUGAUGCUAAUACCGCAUACGCCCUUCGGGGGAAAGAUUUAUCGGCGAAAGAUUAGCCCGCGUCCGAUUAGCUAGUUGGUGAGGUAAUGGCCUACCAAGGCUCCGAUCGGUAGCUGGUCUGAGAGGAUGACCAGCCACACUGGGACUGAGACACGGCCCAGACUCCUACGGGAGGCAGCAGUGGGGAAUAUUGGACAAUGGGCGCAAGCCUGAUCCAGCCAUGCCGCGUGAGUGAUGAAGGCCUUAGGGUUGUAAAGCUCUUUCACCCACGACGAUGAUGACGGUAGUGGGAGAAGAAGCCCCGGCUAACUUCGUG
rnacentral:rRNA from 1 species